GACAGAAUCCAUGCAGGAAGGAAGGCCUGGGUCUUCAGACCCUUGGGUGUCAGUCCGGAAGUGGCACUGUGAAAGCAUCGGUAACAUCUGCUAUAGAUGCCCUAACGAUCAAGUGGGCUUGGAUUUGGACAUUAUCAGUAGGAAUGGUUAAAGGCUGAUGGGAUCAUAAAGCAAAGAUGAUACAUCCGGAAAGUUGGUAUUCAGGUAGUUGGUAGAUCGUGUAGUUCAACUAAUUCCUAGAUAGAAGCUGUUUCUUUUGAUACCAGAGAAAUGAAGUUUCAGGAGACUGAAACUAGAUCUGAGUCUCACUUCUUUUCCCAGGCUGGAAUUCUUGGGUGCUCUAAGUCCUGGAUAUACAAUAGAUGAUGACAACAUUUUUCUGUUAUGCAUGAAGGUAGAUGAUUUUCAAAUUAAAGAUGGAACGUGACUUUUCUCACCAGAAAUGGCGUAUAGAAUCAACUUGCAAAAAUGUAAGAGACACCAAAGGAAAGAGUAAAAUACUUGCUUUUAUCAUUCUUAGAUUCUUUGCUAGAUUAUAAACUCCAUGAAAGUGGGAAAGCUUCCUUAUCUGUAAUGCCUGGCCCAGAGUAGAUACUGAAAAAUACAUGAAGUGAUUUGAAACCUCCAUUAAUUUUUUUUUU